AAAACAAGUGUCAAAGCAACAUCAGUUAAUUCCGCUAACAUAGUCUGAAGUGGGAGAUCGUGCGCAUUCACGCGCUCCUGCGCACCGCUAACAACGUUGGUAGUUAUCAUCUGACAUUGUUAACGAGCUAGCCAGUUGAUGAUAGACUUGGUCAUUUGGGAACGUUUUAUGAAAUAAAUAAAAAAAUGCGAUUUUGCAGUUCCGACUAUGUUAAUAGUCACUAGC